CUUGUAAUCCUCAAUUGUAAAUGAAUCACGAUGGCGAAUAGUAUUCGCUUAUUUCCUAGACCAAUUUUAUUGUACAUCGCAGUGACAAUAAGUGGUAUUCAGGCAUUUUGGUCUGCGUUUGAUUUAGUAUCACUUGAAAAUUCAAAAUCUGGAAUCGGUAUCACACAACUGAAGAUAACACGUUACAAUAAAACGUCGUAUGGAAUUAGUGGAACUAUCGACUUAACAGCAGAUCUUAACGAUGAUUACGAUUGCGAAAUGAAAUCGUAUAUUAGUUCCCAAGGUAACAGCAAAUACACUCUGUUGCCGUAUAAGGUUCCACGAGAUGCGUGUUGCACACAUUUGGAAUCUUCUCAUUGGAGAGGAAUAGAAAACAGUCUCAAGGACUGUUCAGAUAUACCGCCGCGGAAAAAAAAUGAAAAAUUUUGUUCCAUUUUGACAAAACGUCAAUAUGAAGUGCGACAUUUUGGCUUUAACUAUUAUGUCAUCCCAAAAUUUAUGGACGUUGGUACAUAUAAAAUUGAAAUUCUCAUGUACGAGAAAGGAUCGCCGGAUGUUUCUUCCAUUGCUACAUUUGUUGCUAAGUUAUACUGAAAAUGUUUCUCUCAUUGCGUAACAAGAAUGUAAAUUACAAAUAAAAUGUUUUAUU